rnacentral:misc_RNA from 1 species
UACGGAGGGUGCGAGCGUUAUCCGGAAUCAUUGGGUUUAAAGGGUCCGUAGGCGGGAUAAUAAGUCAGUGGUGAAAGUCUGCAGCUCAACUGUAGAAUUGCCAUUGAUACUGUUGUCCUUGAGUCAUUAUGAAGUGGUUAGAAUAUGUAGUGUAGCGGUGAAAUGCAAAGAUAUUACAUAGAAUACCGAUUGCGAAGGCAGAUCACUAAUAAUAUACUGACGCUGAUGGACGAAAGCGUAGGUAGCGAACAGG